rnacentral:rRNA from 1 species
UACGGAGGAUGCAAGCGUUAUCCGGAAUGAUUGGGCGUAAAGCGUCCGCAGGUGGCUAUGUAAGUCUGCUGUUAAAGAGUGAGGCUCAACCUCAUAAGAGCAGUGGAAACUAGAUGGCUAGAGUGCGUUCGGGGCAGAGGGAAUUCCUGGUGUAGCGGUGAAAUGCGUAGAGAUCAGGAAGAACACCGGUGGCGAAAGCGCUCUGCUAGGCCGCAACUGACACUCAUGGACGAAAGCUAGGGGAGCGAAUGGG